UACGUAGGGGGCGAGCGUUGUCCGGAGUUACUGGGCGUAAAGGGCACGCAGGCGGUGCGGCGCGUUUUCGCGUGACAGCGGAGGGCUUAACUCUCCGAGGAUGCGAAAGACGGCGGCACUUGAGGGCCAGAGAGGGACACGGAAUUCCGGGUGGAGUGGUGAAAUGCGUAGAGAUCCGGAGGAACACCGAAGGCGAAGGCAGUGUCCUGGCUGGUGACUGACGCUGAGGUGCGAAAGCUAGGGGAGCGAACGGG
rnacentral:rRNA from 1 species